CCUCCUGCUUAUUUCAGGGUAUAAGAAUCACAGUUAGUUUUUCCUCUGCCACGGGGUAAUUACGAUUUUGUCCUAACCUGGUGCACUGGGAGGACAGCUGGACUGCAAGCACUGGAAACCACUUAACUGGAGGGUGGCAUCACUAUGACAGGACUGGACAACUGGCCAUGACUAAAUACAAGGCUUCAUUUUCAUACUAAAACAAAUAGCAAGAGUUAGCAGCAACCAAACAGUUAUGGUCCUCUCCACGCCUCACUCUCAUCUCUUCUCUUAAAUCUUCUACCUGGCUACAUCAGAGAGCAUUUCUUCAACUCAGUUCCUGGGGAAGAAUCCAGAACUGUGAGCUAAGUGGGAAGCUGUCUCCUACAGUUUAGGAGAAAAGGUAGAGACACCAGAAUGGGACUGAAAAUGAUCCAUCCAGUGCAAGUCAAUGGGAAAUACUGAGAAUGCAUUUAGUGGGUUGGAGAGAAAUUCUAAACCUCUGCUAUUCUUUCAAGAUAAUUGAGAAAAAAAUGAAUGAGAGAAAUGGGACUGACUGCACCUCCUGGACUUCCCAGCCUACAUCAAGAUAUAUGAAUGUGUGGAGCACCUGAGGGAGAAGAAAGGAACAACAGUAUAGUGUGAAGAAAAUUCCCUGACGUUCUGGAAGAGUUAUAAAUAUAUGUGAGAAGGAGAUUCAGAAGUAAAAUAACCUUGGCUACCAUUUUCACACUUGUGUAGGUAUUUCCAGAAGAAGAAUAGUGAUGAGUAUGGGAACAAUGAUGAGCUGAAAUGACAAAGUGUCGAUAAGCUCCUCAAAUUUGGCUUUUUAAAGGUCAGAAAGUUUUUAACAUUAGAACGUUGAAGGACUGGAAAAUAGUAUAGCACACGCUAUAAAUCUUCUAGCAGACGCCUGAAGAAAGCUAUAAAAAAAAAUCAGUAUUACAACAUACAUAUGAUUGAAUUUCAAUGAAUCAUCAUUUUAUAGUGGCCAUGACAUGAAAUCUCCAUCUUCCUCUGAAAUUGAAGGUUAAGAAUGAUACGCUGUUUUACAUUGCCCUGAUGUUUAUAUAGAAUUCUGAAAACAGCAUGAAGGAAAGCAUAAAAAUAAAGCAGACAUAUUAAAAACCUUGUAAGAUAACAGGGAAACCACUGCUCUUUACAGAGAAUAUUAUUUUGUUAUUGUUAUUUAGUGAACUGGGAAAAAUUCUCACAUUAAAUUACUGUUAUCCUGCAUUCCAUUACUGUAACAAUCAAGACUGCCUUUCUUUGGGUGCUGUAGCUUUAUAUAUAACAUACCUAAACCAUAUGUCCGAAGAUUUUUAGACUUUAGCCACCUGAGAACUGCAAUGUAGAAUCACCAUGAAAUGCUCAGCCUGAACUGUUCACUUACAAUAAAAGUGAACAGAUAAAAAAGGAGAAGUUAUAGUUCUACACAUUUGUUAGACUUUAUAGACUUAAAUGGUCCAUUUCAUGAAUCAGAUCAUCAGGACAUACCAGCUACUUCUGCUUGUCUGAAAAUCUUAAUAACAGUGUAUAAUGCUUUUCCUGUCACUUCUAUUGUUUUAAGUAAGGCUAGGUCAUAAUAAGGCCUUGUAUGAAAAUGACCCCUUCUUAUUCAGUGGGUUUGGUUCCAUGUUUAGCUCAUCUAUGUAAUAUAUGUGGUUAAGUAGGAUGGGUUUGUAAUUAUCACUUAGCUCCAGGCAGCACAAUUUAUCGAGGCAGUAAAAGUGAGUAAUCUGGAAUGUAGCCCUGCUCACACCUCAUCAGCAGAUUGUUUCCUGCAGCCCAGCUCCUGGAGGAGUGCUAGAUGUGAGCAAAUCCAUCGAGGGCAAUCAAAAUGCACAGGUAUUACUCAAGGCUGAAAAGGAAAACAACACGCCUGCCCAGACAUCUGACAUCAGCAUUCAGCCUUAUGUGACCUGCAUUACUGGAGCUGAUGUAUAGGGAGGAAAACUGCCACACAGAGCUUCAAGGUACAGCAAUGAUUUUUCUGGGAUGAUACUUGGUCAAAAAUGCAGUUAGGCUGAUAUCCUAUAAACAAAAUAAUCUUUUUUGGAAUUACCAUACAAAAUAGAUGGGUACUAGCACUCUUACCAGAAAGUUUGUAUUAUGACUCUAUAUUAGUUCAGGGUUAAAAUUUCUAAAGAAAAUUUUAUUUUCGUUUUUUUGUCAAGCUACUGGUUCAGAGCCUUGGCUGUGUGGAUCAUCUCAUUUAAGUUGGCAACAUAACCAAUUUAACAUAACCAUAUUAAUCCAUGGUGUGAGCCAGUUACCAACAUGAAUUUGGCCUGUUAUGCUCUGCACUUUUUGGGAAACAAAGCAGACAUAUAUUUUUUUUUUUAAUGUAUUUUAAACUAGUAGCUUUAGAAGUUAGUUUCAACUAUUUUUUUCCAGAAGCUUUUACUGAGUUCAAGAGCUUACACUGAAUUUCCUCCCAGAUAAAUUUCUUCCCUUGUGUUCCAUUUCACUAAAGUGAGAGAUUCCAUUUUGUGGUAAACUAACUAAUUUAGAAAUUUAUUUAGCUAUCUGUAAGUCCCAAAAUGAAUUCAGCAUUUUCGUUGCCCUAUUUCUCAUUAAUCUACAGGCCAGAUGCAUUAUCUCACUUCCAGUUCCAAUGAAAUGAGAAAGAGGAUUACUUUUUUAAUUCCCAUUUGCCAUCAGUGCAGCAGUCCUGGAGCAUUAGAAGUCCAUCUCUCCAUUUAUUUUUAGUACUCUGAUUAUUGCCCACAGUUUGGAAACAACUUCUGCAAUACCCAGUGCUGCAAUAUGGAUCUCCAUUGAAGUAUUAAACAGCCUAUCUUGGGCUCAAUUACCACUUUGACAAAAUUAAAUUGACAAUGUUGAGUUUGAGUUUUAUUUGAGAGCAGUAGAAAUAAAGUGACUUUUUGAUGCUCAAAACUAGGGAGAUCUUAUAAGGAAAGACUAGCUCUUUUUUUUUUUUUAUGUUGAGAUAAAAGAAUAGCCCUUUGAUUACAAUGCUGGGAAGCAGCAUUGCUUGAGUUACUAACAAUAGAAUGCAUUGCCAAUGCGUCUUGAAAGCCUGGCUCUGUCUGUAGCCAGUACUUCAGGAUUCCUCCAAGGGUUGUCCUGUAUAGACACCUUGUUACCUUCUGGCACAUCUGCAAGAAUGAGAAUGAAGAAUGCCUGGUUUUGCUGUUGUUGAAAUUACACUUGGAUUUUGAACCUGGUAGGGAAUCAGACACUUCUCUUUCCUGGUGUUUCCACCCAUAUUUUUCCUGUGUUCAUUUUACCCUCCCAUACUCCCACUUCGACUUGAUCACCUAGUUAAUCUUGUUCACUCUUCUAGAAUCUGGAAGCUCUUGUUAGCAAUCCAGAAAUAAGGUUGUGUUUUGCAGUUUGUGGUAUUGUCCCCAUAAAAGCACAGAAUAAGAACUUAAGUGCUGGAAAUCUCAGGCUUUGCAGUAGAAGCUGUAAAGGACUUGGUUACAGCUGCUCCAUGGUAACAGGUGAGCAGAUAGGAGCUUCCUUUGCCCAUGCUUCAAAUCAAAUAGAUAUGAUCUAGCUGGGUACAUGAUGCAGGGCAUCUGUGACAUUACCAGGGUGAGGUUGUCCUGACUUGUUUUAGAAGCUCACUUAAAAAUAAAGAUUUAAAAAUAAAUUACUGUGGUUUCUUUUAUGUGUGCAUUUUAAAUUGUUUCCCUGAGAUUUUAAGGCACAUCAGGUACAAGAACAACUUACAAUUUUUUCUUCACUUGUGUUAAUGUCCACUCAGCCCUAUUAAGAAUCCUAAGGGUGUGUGCAUUUUCAUGUUGGAAAUUUUAUCAAACUGAACAUUUCUGUCCUAGUUAGCACUGAGAAAAAGAGAAAAGAAACUGGAAAUAGGUGGAAAAUUCACCUCAAUCUCU